rnacentral:rRNA from 1 species
UACGGAAGGGGCAAGCGUUGUUCGGAAUCAUUGGGCGUAAAGGGCGCGCAGGUGGCUCUGUAUGUCUACCGUGAAAGCGUACGGCUCAACCGUAUUUUGUCGGUAGAAACUGCAGGACUUGAGGCUGGGAGGGGCUGGUGGAAUUCCCUGUGUAGCGGUGAAAUGCGUAGAGAUGGGGGAGAACACUCGUGGCGAAGGCGGCCAGCUAGACCAGUUCUGACACUGAGGCGCGACAGCGUGGGGAGCAAACAGG